rnacentral:rRNA from 1 species
GACGAACGCUGGCGGCGUGCUUAACACAUGCAAGUCGAACGGAAAGGCCCUGCUUUUGUGGGGUGCUCGAGUGGCGAACGGGUGAGUAACACGUGAGUAACCUGCCCUUGACUUUGGGAUAACUUCAGGAAACUGGGGCUAAUACCGGAUAGGAGCUCCUGCUGCAUGGUGGGGGUUGGAAAGUUUCGGCGGUUGGGGAUGGACUCGCGGCUUAUCAGCUUGUUGGUGGGGUAGUGGCUUACCAAGGCUUUGACGGGUAGCCGGCCUGAGAGGGUGACCGGCCACAUUGGGACUGAGAUACGGCCCGGACGCCUACGGGAGGCAGCAGUGGGGAAUAUUGCACAAUGGGCGGAAGCCUGAUGCAGCAACGCCGCGUGCGGGAUGACGGCCUUCGGGUUGUAAACCGCUUUCGCCUGUGACGAAGCGUGAGUGACGGUAAUGGGUAAAGAAGCACCGGCUAACUACGUG